rnacentral:rRNA from 1 species
GGUUAAGUUAGAAAGGGCGCACGGUGAAUGCCUUGGCACUAGGAGCCGAUGAAGGACGGGACUAACACCGAUAUGCUUCGGGGAGCUGUAAGUGAGCUUUGAUCCGGAGAUUUCCGAAUGGGGGAAACCCACUGUUCGUAAUGGAACAGUAUCUUUAUCUGAAUACAUAGGAUAUUGAAGGCAGACCCGGGGAACUGAAACAUCUAAGUACCCGGAGGAAGAGAAAGCAAAUGCGAUUUCCUGAGUAGCGGCGAGCGAAACGGAAUUAGCCCAAACCAAGAGGCUUGCCUCUUGGGGUUGUAGGACACUCUAUACGGAGUUACAAAGGAACGAAGUAAAUGAAGCGACCUGGAAAGGUCCGUCGAAGAAGGUAACAACCCUGUAGUUGAAACUUCGUUCCCUCUUGAGUGGAUCCUGAGUACGGCGGAACACGUGAAAUUCCGUCGGAAGCUGGGAGGACCAUCUCCCAAGGCUAAAUACUACCUAGUGACCGAUAGUGAACCAGUACCGUGAGGGAAAGGUGAAAAGCACCCCGGAAGGGGAGUGAAAGAGAUCCUGAAACCGUGUGCCUACAAGUAGUCAGAGCCCGUUAACGGGUGAUGGCGUGCCUUUUGUAGAAUGAACCGGCGAGUUACGAUCCCAUGCAAGGUUAAGCUGAUAAGGCGGAGCCGUAGCGAAAGCGAGUCUGAAUAGGGCGUUUAGUAUGUGGUUGUAGACCCGAAACCAGGUGAUCUACCCAUGUCCAGGGUGAAGUUCAGGUAACACUGAAUGGAGGCCCGAACCCACGCACGUUGAAAAGUGCGGGGAUGAGGUGUGGGUAGCGGAGAAAUUCCAAUCGAACCUGGAGAUAGCUGGUUCUCUCCGAAAUAGCUUUAGGGCUAGCCUCAUGUUGUGAGAGUCUUGGAGGUAGAGCACUGAUUGGACUAGGGGCCCCCAACGGGUUACCGAAUUCAGUCAAACUCCGAAUGCCAAAGACUUAUCCAUGGGAGUCAGACUGCGAGUGAUAAGAUCCGUAGUCAAAAGGGAAACAGCCCAGACCACCAGCUAAGGUCCCCAAGUAUACGUUAAGUGGAAAAGGAUGUGGAGUUGCUUAGACAACCAGGAUGUUGGCUUAGAAGCAGCCACCAUUUAAAGAGUGCGUAAUAGCUCACUGGUCGAGUGACUCUGCGCCGAAAAUGUACCGGGGCUAAACGUAUCACCGAAGCUGUGGAUUGACAUCUUAGAUGUCAGUGGUAGGAGAGCGUUCUAAGUGCAGCGAAGUCAGACCGUAAGGACUGGUGGAGCGCUUAGAAGUGAGAAUGCCGGUAUGAGUAGCGAAAGACAAGUGAGAAUCUUGUCCACCGAAUGCCUAAGGUUUCCUGAGGAAGGCUCGUCCGCUCAGGGUUAGUCGGGACCUAAGCCGAGGCUGAAAAGCGUAGGCGAUGGCCAACAGGUUGAUAUUCCUGUACCACCUCCCCGCCGUUUGAGUAAUGGGGGGACGCAGUAGGAUAGGGUAAGCGCGCUGCUGGAUAUGCGCGUUCAAGCAGUUAGGCUGAUGAGUAGGCAAAUCCGCUCAUCAUAAAGGCUGAGCUGUGAUGACGAGGGAAUUAUAGUACCGAAGUUCCUGAUUCCACACUGCCAAGAAAAGCCUCUAGCGAGGCGGGAGGUGCCCGUACCGCAAACCGACACAGGUAGGCGAGGAGAGAAUCCUAAGGUGAUCGAGAGAACUCUCGUUAAGGAACUCGGCAAAAUGACCCCGUAACUUCGGGAGAAGGGGUGCUCUGGUAGGGUGUAUAGCCCGAGAGAGCCGCAGUGAAUAGGCCCAGGCGACUGUUUAGCAAAAACACAGGUCUCUGCGAAGCCGCAAGGCGAAGUAUAGGGGCUGACGCCUGCCCGGUGCUGGAAGGUUAAGAGGAGGGGUUAUCCUUUGGGAGAAGCUCUGAAUCGAAGCCCCAGUAAACGGCGGCCGUAACUAUAACGGUCCUAAGGUAGCGAAAUUCCUUGUCGGGUAAGUUCCGACCCGCACGAAAGGCGUAACGAUCUGGGCACUGUCUCAACGAGAGACUCGGUGAAAUUAUAGUACCUGUGAAGAUGCAGGUUACCCGCGACAGGACGGAAAGACCCCGUGGAGCUUUACUGUAGCCUGAUAUUGAAUUUUGGUACAGCUUGUACAGGAUAGGUAGGAGCCUGAGAAGCCGGAGCGCUAGCUUCGGUGGAGGCGUCGGUGGGAUACUACCCUGGCUGUAUUGAAAUUCUAACCCGCGGCCCUGAUCGGGCCGGGAGACAGUGUCAGGUGGGCAGUUUGACUGGGGCGGUCGCCUCCUAAAAUGUAACGGAGGCGCCCAAAGGUUCCCUCAGAAUGGUUGGAAAUCAUUCGUAGAGUGUAAAGGCACAAGGGAGCUUGACUGCGAGACCUACAAGUCGAGCAGGGACGAAAGUCGGGCUUAGUGAUCCGGUGGUUCCGCAUGGAAGGGCCAUCGCUCAACGGAUAAAAGCUACCCCGGGGAUAACAGGCUUAUCUCCCCCAAGAGUCCACAUCGACGGGGAGGUUUGGCACCUCGAUGUCGGCUCAUCGCAUCCUGGGGCUGUAGUCGGUCCCAAGGGUUGGGCUGUUCGCCCAUUAAAGCGGUACGCGAGCUGGGUUCAGAACGUCGUGAGACAGUUCGGUCCCUAUCCGUCGUGGGCGUAGGAAAUUUGAGAGGAGCUGUCCUUAGUACGAGAGGACCGGGAUGGACACACCGCUGGUGUACCAGUUGUCUUGCCAAAGGCAUCGCUGGGUAGCUAUGUGUGGACGGGAUAAGUGCUGAAAGCAUCUAAGCAUGAAGCCCCCCUCAAGAUGAGAUUUCCCAUAGCGCAAGCUAGUAAGAUCCCUGAAAGAUGAUCAGGUUGAUAGGUCAGAGGUGGAAGCGUGGCGACAUGUGUAGCUGACUGAUACUAAUCGAUCGAGGACUUAACCAA